GGAGGUAUAGCUUGAUGGUAGAGUGUGUGCUUAGUAUGUACAAGGUCCUAGGUUCAAUCCCCAGUACCUCCA
rnacentral:tRNA from 1 species